AGUCAGCAGAGAGGCUACAACUGAGGAGCUUUCAUAAAUCAUAAAUCACAGGAUUUACAAUUUGGGGAACUAUGAGAGGAGAUAAACAACAAACUGAGGUUUUUGAGAUAUUGGGAAUGUUGCUGACCUGUAAUAUUGAUUCCCAUUGUGAAUUUCUUUUAUUAUGUACUUGUUUUUUCAUAGUAGUAGAUAUUAUAUUGCCUAUAUUCCUUUCUGAUAAUUUUGGGAACAUAGAACAGUAAGAUUUUGAUAUUUGUAACAUUUAGCACCUGAGUGCAAGUGACAACCCCAAAGCAAGAGUGGCUUAGAGAAGGCAGACAUUUAUUUCUCUGUCAAUUAACAGGAGGCAGAAGCAGGCAGUUUAAUAAAGACACCACAAUCAGGAGGGACUAAGGUUUGUUCUACCAGGUCUUUUUGUCACCCUAACAUGGCUUCCAACUCAAACUCCAAGAUAGCUGCUCCAGAUGGACACCUCACAUCUGCACUCCCUGCAGGAAGGAGGAAGGGUCUGACCUUUCCUUUAAGGGGGAACACUUCCUGUAGCUGGUACACAACACUUCUACUUAGAUCUGACUGGCCAGAAUUUAGUCAUAUGGCCAUGUGUCUCUAUAAGGAAGACUAAAAUGUAAAUUUUAUUUUGGACAACCAUAUGCCCAGCUAAAAAUUAGUGGUUCCAUUACCAAAGAAGUAGGAGAGGAUGAAUAUUGGGAAACAAUUAGCCGUCUCUGCAAUAAUCUUUUAAUAGUUUGCUCUAGAUGCUAUAAAGGCUAGAUUUUUCCAUUUUGUUUUGUUUCUUACUGAUUUUCUUAAAGAAUAAUAGUAGAUAUUUAUAUAUAAACAAUACUUUUUUUCUGUCAUAUUUGCGACUAAUAAAUUUCAAUGCUACUUUUUAAA
rnacentral:lncRNA from 1 species